rnacentral:ribozyme from 1 species
AAAAAAAAAGAGAAAGAAAAAGAAAUCCACGACCGCACUUUUGUGAUCUAUCGAGCUUCAAUCUGUGUUUUGGAAGUUCUUACUCUCUCUCUCUCUCGGUAGCAAGCAUCAAAAAUGAAAAGCGCACAUUUUUGUGCCAAAAAACAAGGGAAGGAAAGAGUAUAGUGUAGAGAGAAUCCACCCACCCAUAUUUUUUACUCUAAACUUUUUU